UUUUAAAUUGAGAGUUUGAUCCUGGCUCAGGACGAACGCUGGCGGCGUGCCUAACACAUGCAAGUCGAGCGAUGAAGCCCUUCGGGGUGGAUUAGCGGCGGACGGGUGAGUAACACGUGGGUAACCUGCCUUAUAGAGGGGGAUAGCCUUCCGAAAGGAAGAUUAAUACCGCAUGAAAUGUUUUUAUCGCAUGGUAGAAACAUCAAAGGAGUAAUCCGCUAUAAGAUG
rnacentral:rRNA from 1 species